UUCUAAUAGAACUUAUUAUUAGUAAAAUCUGCUCAAUGAAUAUUAAAUAGCCGCAAUAUACUUGUGCUAAGGUAGCAUAAUCAUUUGUCUUUUAAUUAAAGACUAGAACGAAAGAUUCAACAUUUUAAUUUCUAUUUAAAAAUAAUAUUUAAAAUUUAUUUUAAAUAUUAAAAAAUAUUUAUUUUUAAAAAAGACGAUAAGACCCUAUUGAACUUAACUUUAGUUAAACUGGGGUAGUUAAUUAAUUAUUAUUUUAAUAAAAAUUCAAAAUUAAAUGAUCUGAAAAUUUCAAUUCUUUAAUCAAGUUACCAUAGGGAUAACAGCGUAAUAAUUUUUCAAAGAUCUUAUUUAAAAAAUAGAUUACGACCUCGAUGUUGAAUAAUUAACCUAUUAAAUGCAAUAAUAUAACAAGGAAGUCUGUUCGACUUUUAAUUAAUUACA
rnacentral:rRNA from 1 species